GACGAACGCUGGCGGCGUGCCUAAUACAUGCAAGUAGAACGCUGAAGAGAGGAGCUUGCUCUUCUUGGAUGAGUUGCGAACGGGUGAGUAACGCGUAGGUAACCUGCCUUGUAGCGGGGGAUAACUAUUGGAAACGAUAGCUAAUACCGCAUAACAAUGGAUGACACAUGUCAUUUAUUUGAAAGGGGCAAUUGCUCCACUACAAGAUGGACCUGCGUUGCAUUAGCUAGUAGGUGAGGUAAUGGCUCACCUAGGCGACGAUACAUAGCCGACCUGAGAGGGUGAUCGGCCACACUGGGACUGGAACACGGCCCAGCAUCCUACGAGAGGCAGCAGUAGGGAAUCUUCGGCAAUGGGAGCAACCCUGACCGAGCAACGCCGCGUGAGUGAAGAAGGUUUUCGGAUCGUAAAGCCCUGUUGUAAGUCAAGAACGGGUGUGAGAGUGGAAAGUUCACACUGUGACGGUAGCUUAACAGAAAGGGACGGCUAACUCCGUG
rnacentral:rRNA from 1 species